UAGAAAGUGGUGUAGUGGAAGCACGGGGAGUUUUGAUCUCUCAGGGAGGGUUUCAAGUACCCUUUUUCUAG
rnacentral:tRNA from 1 species